rnacentral:rRNA from 1 species
CAGCAGCCACGGUAAUACGAAGGGUGCAAGCGUUACUCGGAAUUACUGGGCGUAAAGCGUGCGUAGGUGGUGGUUUAAGUCCGUUGUGAAAGCCCUGGGCUCAACCUGGGAAUUGCAGUGGAUACUGGGCACUAGAGUGUGGUAGAGGAUAGUGGAAUUUCCGGUGUAGCAGUGAAAUGCGUAGAGAUCGGAAGGAACAUCUGUGGCGAAGGCGACUAUCUGGGCCAACACUGACACUGAGGCACGAAAGCGUGGGGAGCAAACAGGAUUAGAUACCCCCGUAGUCCCUGUCUCCUAUACC